AACUCGACUGCAUGAAGCUGGAAUCGCUAGUAAUCGCGAAUCAGCAUGUCGCGGUGAAUACGUUCCCGGGUCUUGUACACACCGCCCGUCACACCAUGGGAGUCGGAAAUGCCCGAAGCCAGUGACCCAACCUUUAAGGAGGGAGCUGUCGAAGGCAGGUCUGGUAACUGGGGUGAAGUCGUAACAAGGUAUC
rnacentral:rRNA from 1 species